rnacentral:rRNA from 1 species
GAUGAACGCUAGCGGCAGGCCUAACACAUGCAAGUCGAGGGGCAGCACAGAAACAGCAAUGUUUUGGUGGCGACCGGCGGACGGGUGCGUAACGCGUAUGCAACCUACCUUUAACAGGGGGAUAACGGAGAGAAAUUUCCACUAAUACCCCAUAACAUCGAUCAAGGCAUCUUGAUUGGUUGAAAACUCGGGUGGUUAACGAUGGGCAUUCGUUGUAUUAGGUAGUUGGUGAGGUAAUGGCUCACCCAGCCUACGAUACAUAGGGGGACUGAGAGGUUAGCCCCCCACACUGGUACUGAGACACGGACCAGACUCCUACGGGAGGCAGCAGUGAGGAAUAUUGGUCAAUGGGGGCAACCCUGAACCAGCCAUGCCGCGUGCAGGAAGACGGCUCUAUGAGUUGUAAACUGCUUUUAAACAGGGAUAAAGCACAGUAUGUAUACUGUGUUGAAGGUACUGUAAGAAUAAGGAUCGGCUAACUCCGUGCCAGCCGCCGCCGUAA